rnacentral:rRNA from 1 species
UCCAACGUUAAUCGGGGCAGGGUGAGUCGACCCCUAAGGCGAGGCCGAAAGGCGUAGUCGAUGGGAAACGGGUUAAUAUUCCCGUACUUGGUGUUACUGCGAAGGGGGGACGGAGAAGGCUAUGUUGGCCGGGCGACGGUUGUCCCGGUUUAAGCGUGUAGGUAUGUGUUCCAGGUAAAUCCGGUUCACUUUAACACUGAGGCGUGACGACGAGGCACUACGGUGCUGAAGCAACAAAUGCCCUGCUUCCAGGAAAAGCCUCUAAGCAUCAGGUAACAUCAAAUCGUACCCCAAACCGACACAGGUGGUCAGGUAGAGAAUACCAAGGCGCUUGAGAGAACUCGGGUGAAGGAACUAGGCAAAAUGGUGCCGUAACUUCGGGAGAAGGCACGCUGACACGUAGGUGAAGUGAUUUACUCACGGAGCUGAAGUCAGCCGAAGAUACCAGCUGGCUGCAACUGUUUAUUAAAAACACAGCACUGUGCAAACACGAAAGUGGACGUAUACGGUGUGACGCCUGCCCGGUGCCGGAAGGUUAAUUGAUGGGGUCAGCGCAAGCGAAGCUCCUGAUCGAAGCCCCGGUAAACGGCGGCCGUAACUAUAACGGUCCUAAGGUAGCGAAAUUCCUUGUCGGGUAAGUUCCGACCUGCACGAAUGGCGUAAUGAUGGCCAGGCUGUCUCCACCCGAGACUCAGUGAAAUUGAACUCGCUGUGAAGAUGCAGUGUACCCGCGGCAAGACGGAAAGACCCCGUGAACCUUUACUAUAGCUUGACACUGAACAUUGAGCCUUGAUGUGUAGGAUAGGUGGGAGGCUUUGAAGUGUGGACGCCAGUCUGCAUGGAGCCGACCUUGAAAUACCACCCUUUAAUGUUUGAUGUUCUAACGUGGACCCGUGAUCCGGGUUGCGGACAGUGUCUGGUGGGUAGUUUGACUGGGGCGGUCUCCUCCUAAAGAGUAACGGAGGAGCACGAAGGUUGGCUAAUCCUGGUCGGACAUCAGGAGGUUAGUGCAAUGGCAUAAGCCAGCUUGACUGCGAGCGUGACGGCGCGAGCAGGUGCGAAAGCAGGUCAUAGUGAUCCGGUGGUUCUGAAUGGAAGGGCCAUCGCUCAACGGAUAAAAGGUACUCCGGGGAUAACAGGCUGAUACCGCCCAAGAGUUCAUAUCGACGGCGGUGUUUGGCACCUCGAUGUCGGCUCAUCACAUCCUGGGGCUGAAGUAGGUCCCAAGGGUAUGGCUGUUCGCCAUUUAAAGUGGUACGCGAGCUGGGUUUAGAACGUCGUGAGACAGUUCGGUCCCUAUCUGCCGUGGGCGCUGGAGAACUGAGGGGGGCUGCUCCUAGUACGAGAGGACCGGAGUGGACGCAUCACUGGUGUUCGGGUUGUCAUGCCAAUGGCACUGCCCGGUAGCUAAAUGCGGAAGAGAUAAGUGCUGAAAGCAUCUAAGCACGAAACUUGCCCCGAGAUGAGUUCUCCCUGAGACUUUAGGUCUCCUGAAGGAACGUUGAAGACGACGACGUUGAUAGGCCGGGUGUGUAAGCGCAGCGAUGCGUUGAGCUAACCGGUACUAAUGAACCGUGAGGCUUAACCUUACAACGCCGAAG